rnacentral:rRNA from 1 species
CUACGUAGGUGACAAGCGUUAUCCGGAUUUACUGGGCGUAAAGGGCGUGUAGGCGGUCUUGCAAGUCAGAAGUGAAAUUCCUGAGCUCAACUCGGGCGCUGCUUCUGAAACUGCAGGACUUGAGUGCUGGAGGGGAUAGCGGAAUUCCUAGUGGAGCGGUAAAAUGCGCAAAUAUUAGGAAGAACACCGGUGGCGAAGGCGGCUAUCUGGACAGUAACUGACGCUGAGGCGCGAAAGCGUGGGGAGCAAACAGGAUUAGAUUCCCUGGUAGUCCACGCCGUAAACGAUGAAUACUAGGUGUAGGGGGUAUCGACUCCCUCUGUGCCGCAGUUAACACAAUAAGUAUUCCGCCUGGGGAGUACGGCCGCAAGGUUGAAACUCAAAUGAAUUGACGGGG